CGCUCCACUUAUUGUUGAGGUUUCAAACGCAGAACAUUUAAACUGAUUGCUUUUUUUUUUUUUUAGAAGACUUAAUAGUGCUGGUUAAAAAGCGAAUAACCAACAUGUAAAAUAAUAAAUUCUUCUUGUUUCAUCAUUUUAAAACAUGUGAAACCUCAUUUGGCAUAGUUCAUGUUUAAAACAAGAAACGUUCAUGAAUUGUUACUGCGAGUUUAGAGCAUAGAUCUACAUCCUCACAUAGAUCUACAGUUUACAGAUCUAUAAUUAACAGAUAUACAAGUUUAUAGAUCUACAAUCUCAUAGAUCGGUAACUUAAUAGAUACACAACUUCUUAGGUCUGUAACUUCAGAGCUCUUCAACCUCAUAGAUCCACAACUUAGUUCAUAGAUCUGUAACUAAAUAGAUCUAUAUUAAAUAGAUCUACAACUUCAUAGAUCUAAAAUUAUUAGAUGCACAACUUCAUAACUCUAUAAUUAAUAGAUCUACAACUUCAUAGAUCUACAACUUCCUAGAUCUGUAACUAAAUAGAUCUAUAUUAAAUAGAUCUACAACUUCAUAGAUCUAAAAUUAUUAGAUGCACAACUUCAUAAAUCUAUAAUUAAUAGAUCUACAACUUCAUAGAUCUACAACUUCCUAGAUCUAUCAUUAAUAGAUCUACAAUUCAUAGAUUAAAAAAAUCAUAGAUUUACAACUUCAUAGAUCCAUAAUUAAUAAAUCGACAACUUCAUAGAUCUUCCACUUCAUAGAUCUGCAACUUCAUGUAUCUAUAAUUAAUAGAUCUACAACUUCCUAGAUCAGUAACUUUCUAGAUCUCCAGCCCAUGCGGAUCAGAGUGAGGCUGCAGCGCACCCGCUGGGUGGAGAUCUGCCGUCUUGCAGCCCCUAAACCCGACGGCAGCAAAUCCGCUCCGAGCUCCGAUCAGGAAACUCAACAGGUGGAAGCGAGCGGCCGUCAUUCAGCCGAGGUAGGGUGAAGGUGUCUGCGGUAGGAAGCCCUGCGAGGUACGGGAGAGUGGGGACACGAGCUGCGUAGUUCCCUCCCCGGUCAUGGAGGAGCUGAACCACGCCAACGUGAAGGUGGCGGUUCGCCUUCGGCCAAUGAACAGGAGAGGUGAGUCACCGACCGGGACGGGCACUCACUCACUCACUCACUCACUCACUCAC